rnacentral:rRNA from 1 species
GACGAACGCUGGCGGCGUGCUUAACACAUGCAAGUCGAACGGAAAGGCCCUGCUUUUGUGGGGUGCUCGAGUGGCGAACGGGUGAGUAACACGUGAGUAACCUGCCCUUGACUUUGGGAUAACUUCAGGAAACUGGGGCUAAUACCGGAUAGGAGCUCCUGAUGCAUGGUGGGGGUUGGAAAGUUUCGGCGGUUGGGGAUGGACUCGCGGCUUAUCAGCUUGUUGGUGGGGUAGUGGCUUACCAAGGCUUUGACGGGUAGCCGGCCUGAGAGGGUGACCGGCCACAUUGGGACUGAGAUACGGCCCAGACUCCUACGGGAGGCAGCAGUGGGGAAUAUUGCACAAUGGGCGGACGCCUGAUGCAGCAACGCCGCGUGCGGGAUGACGGCCUUCGGGUUGUAAACCGCUUUCGCCUGUGACGAAGCGUGAGUGACGGUAAUGGGUAAAGAAGCACCGGCUAACUACGUG